GGAUGCGGCAGCACCCCGAUGGAUGGGCCGCGGGCAGCCGCUCGUCUCCGUGCGACAGCGCUGCGGGCGGGCGCCCUGGGGACAGGGAGGGCAGCCUUGGAAAACGCUUUUCCCAACACGCCCCCGGGAGCUGCGGGCGGCUCGGGGCUCUCGCAGCCUCGGCGGCCCCGGGGCAGCGCCAGGCCCGGAUGGAGCAGCAGCGCGCAGGCUGGUCACCUGAAUCUCAUUCAGAGCACCUGCAAACCUCACCACCUUAACCAAAAGAUAUGAUGACUACUCUGUUGAAGAUCUACCCAGGAUUGCAGAAAGUGGAGCCUAAUGUUCUGCUAUACAUAAAAUCAAGUGAAUAAGUGCCUGAGACUGAGAUGAUGCAAAUAAUGUCCCCCAGAGGAGACAACAUGGGAAUGAUGUGACUGAUCCACAGCUUGGUGACCCUCAGCUUCUUUGCAAGACUUAAAAGUGAAGAGAGAGUGGUAAAAGCCAUGCAAUACAGAGAAAGUGAGAAAGGAGACAUGGUGACAAGGUCAGCUCUCAGGAGAGAACAAGAGAACUUCUAGAAGCCUCAGGUCCCUGCUUGAAUGGGUUGGUAAGAAGCUGUGUCUUUGCUAAUAAUUUUUCUUCAUUUAUUCUCUUCUUUAGGUCUAGCUUGGCUCUCUCUAUGCUGAUGAACUUGAGUUGAUCCAGCACAAAUAAACCUUGUCUCUCUCCAUGUUUGUUCCAUUGAGCAUCUAAUUCAUCCCUGACAGUGCACAGGGGUGAGAGCAGCACUUGGGAACUCCCAGGGAAUCCUCAGGAAAUCCACACCUUGCAAACAGAAAGGGUCAAAUGGAUAGCAAAGGAUUGGGGGUACAAGGGGUGCAGAUUCUUUUCUCAACACUAAUUCAGCUCACCUCAUGUCUCUAGAGUUUUCCAAUUAUUCCACAAACAGCAGAAGAGUUAAAGCAAAAAUCUUCUGAAUCAACCCAAAUUGAGCCCACAACAUUACACUCCUAUCAAAAAGAAAUUUCUUUUCCUAGCACACCUCCAGAACUUUUAAUAUUCCCCUCUAGACAAGGCACUUCAAAGUAAUUUCUGUUUCUUCAGUGUGUUCCAGUCCUAUUUCUGCCCUGGCUGUGCACACAAACCCCACAGCCAGGGAGCCUGCCUGUCUCAGCUUUCCCCUGAAAAGCCAGGUUUUGCAUG